UGUGCGCUAAGUGGGUUCAGGUGCAGUGUGACCAGGAUGAAAAGGAAGGGCAAAGGAGACCAGUACAGGGAUGGGCCCCAGAACACUUAGCACCUAACAAGUGGAUUUCCAUGCGCAAUGGAUUGCUGGUGAUCCUGGUGACAGGUAUAAAUGGAAUUAGAUCCAUACUCCA
rnacentral:sRNA from 1 species